GCUGUCCACUGAGGGAGUGGACAUUAUUAAUAUAGUUGACGAUGUGAGGACCAUCUUUUACCAAACUGUUAUUAAGACCUGUACACUGUAAUGUGUGGGUAGAGGGAGAGACACGAUGAGGACAUCAUGUGGACAAACGACGAACUGCAGUUUAGACCCGAGCAGAUAUCCUGCGGUACUGUAUCUUCUGUCUCCUGGUUUCUUCUUCUUCUGGAACUACGGGGUGAUCAACCUGUGCGGCACGCAGUCAGAUCUUCAACUGGACUUCUGCCUGCUCAUCCACGACUUUGUCCUCAUCCACGUCGGUCUUCACCGUGACACUAACCCUUCCCCUCUAUGUUGGUCUUUUACAUCUCCACACCCCGUCACCCUCCCCUCAUUUCAUCUCAUUUCCUCUACACUCAUUGCCGUCUUUCUCUUUCUAAAAAUAACAAGAUGGUAAUCACAACAGAAUGAAUAGGAUAGUUGCCCCAGUCUGCAGCCAAAGCACAAUAACAUCUGCGUUCAAAAGUUAAGUACCAACACACUGCAAAAAAAACAAAAGAAAGCAGCAGACUGGGUGUCCAUAGUGUCAUUAUUGCAAUGGCAAGAAUAAAUGUUAAAAGAUGGUGGUAAGACAACAUUAUCACUGAGAUGCUA